UUAAAUUUGGCCUUGAAUAACUUUGUCAAUUUCUUAUUCAAUUUAGGCCCGAUUGUACAUUGGCGGCUUAAGCUAUGGCUUAGUUGAACCGGGUUCAAUUUUGAGCGUCGGUUUAACUUCAUUCGGGUUGUUCAAUGCCGAGUUCAGUUAAGCCGAGGUUCAUACAAAUUUUGGUAAGGUUGGCAACGUAAGGCAUGCGUAUUCAAAGCAAUUCCCGUCAAUUCUCGACAUAAAUUUUCCCGCCAUUUAUGUAUUAUUAUUUGGUUUUUGUCAAUAUAAUUCUUUUAUUACUGUUAUUAGUUUAAUCGGUAUUUUCUAUCGUUUAGUUUAUCAGUUUAAUCAAUUUCCUACGUUAAAUUUGUGAACAGACCAUUUGAAUAGCUUGUGAUGAAGGAUUGCGUAAGGGUGUUAUCAGGUUUUCUUGACUCCGUAACCACUAUCACCAAAGAAGAUACUAAUUCAAUCUUCACAUUCUCUUCUCAUAAAUAUUUAACUGUUUACAGCUAUGAUUUCAAAUUCACUCAAAAAUGUUAAUAUUUGCCUUAUUCUAGGGAAGUAGGUAGGUAAUUUAAAUAAUUUUAGAAGGUAAAUUAGUUUGUAAUUAUUAUUAAAUAAAGUGAUAAUAUGUACCUACAUAAGCAUGGUACAAAUAUAAUUAAUUUAAGAUUUAUUAAUAAAUUAUGUACAUCUAAUUUAAUAAAUUAACAAAAUCGU